GAGGAAGUUAACAAUGCAAAAAAAGUGGUGAUACAAGGGAAAAAAAGGUAUUUACUGCUAGAAUAAAAGGAUGCAAUUAAAAAAGCCACAUCAGGGUGAGCUGCCAGGGAUCAAUAAUGAUGAUACAUCCACUUGAGGAUGCCUGUGUAGUGUUAGCUUUAGUUCAACUUUAUAUCGACUGAGGCACAACUUGGCUUAACCAAAUGACACAUUGAAAAGUUUACGAAACGAAAUUCACAAUAACCUUUCCACUUACUUCUUUGCUCGUCUUCCUGUUGUUACGUUCUGUGCCUAGAUCGCAAAACACCCGUCCCUGGCCGCUCACUUCCAUUGUGGCUUUUUUUAUUUGCACGUUUCUAUUUUAUUUGCAGCAGGCUUCUGUUUCUUUUUUUUUUUAUCAUCAGUAACUUCCGUUGUGACUCCUUUUUUUUUUGCAUUCUUUUUUUUUUUUUUUUUUUUU